rnacentral:lncRNA from 1 species
AGCAACGUAGGUGUUGACAGGAAAGAUGCUUGCUUCCCAAGCUUCCUCCUGUAUAUCUGUAGUGUUUGGAAUUGAGUUCAGAUCAAUUGGCUGCUUGCUUCUGGAACUCACCCUCCUUUAGCUAAACCAUAGCAAUAGAUUCUUGCGGUAAAGGGUGGUUUACUAGUAAUUAUGACUGUUUUAAUGACAAAUCUUCUAUCUAUAGUCUUUUGACAUAUUUUUCGUCUGCAGGUCUGUUUACAUUGUAUACACGGUACUUGGAGAUGUCAGCAUAUAUAUUGUAGGAAAGGAUGAGUAUGAUGAACUUGCCUGUAAGUCUGAGUCAUUAACUUUAAUGUUUCAACAAAAGAUAUGCAUGGUACAAUUGUUUAAGGCCUCGUCAGCAAUUAAUUUAAACUAAAAGAAACUGCAAACUAUAUUGUCUUUGUCUCAUUUAUGUACAAACUUUAUUUGGAUAUGCUAGUUAUUCUGUCUCCAUAUGCAUGGUACAGUUGUUUAUGGACCCGUCGGCACUCAAUUAAUGCUAAAAGAAACUGCAAAUUAUGUUGUCUUUGUUCCUUUAUGUACAAACUUUAUUUGGAUAUGCUAAUUAUUCUGUCUCCACGUAGCUCAAAGUAUGUUUUUGGCAAUUGAUUUAGGUAGUUGAGUUGAAAGAAGUCCUUUUAUCCUAUGAGCCGGGGGUCGAUUGGAAACAGCCUCUCUGCCCUUUCGGGUAGGGUUAAGGCUUGUCUACAUAUUACCCUCCGCAGACCCCACCUGGUGGGAGUAUACUGGGUAGUUGUUGUUGUUGUUGUUGUUGUUGUAGUUGAAAGAAGACAAGCCAGUUUUGACCUUAAUUAUGUGGAGUUGAAUGUUCCAAACCAGUUUUGACCUAAUGCCUUUGCAAACCUUGAGGUAGUUGAAUGUUCC